rnacentral:rRNA from 1 species
AGGAUUAACGCUGGCGGCGUGCCUAACACAUGCAAGUCGAACGAGGUAGCAAUACCUAGUGGCAGACGGGUGAGUAGCGCGUGGUCAACCUACCGUUGAGUGGGGGAUAACUAGCCGAAAGGUUAGCUAAUACCGCAUACGUCUCCGAGGGGCAUCCCUUGGUGAUAAAAGGAGCAAUCCGCUCGAUGACGGGACCGCGUCCCAUUAGCUAGUUGGUGGGGUAACGGCCUACCAAGGCAUCGAUGGGUAGCUGGUUUGAGAGAGCGACCAGCCACACAGGGACUGAGAUACGGCCCAGACUCCUACGGGAGGCAGCAGUGAGGAAUUUUCCGCAAUGGGCGAAAGCCUGACGGAGCGACGCCGCGUGUGGGAAGAAGGCCUUCGGGUCGUAAACCACUGUCGAAGGGGACGAUAAUGACGGUACCCUUGGAGGAAGCCCCGGCUAACUACGUGCCAGCAGCCGC